UGGGGAAUCUUGGACAAUGGGGGCAACCCUGAUCCAGCCAUGCCGCGUGGACGAUGAAGGCCUUAGGGUUGUAAAGUCCUUUCACCGGUGACGAUAAUGACGGUAGCCGGAGAAGAAGCCCCGGCUAACUCCGUGCCAGCAGCCGCGGUAAUACGGAGGGGGCUAGCGUUGUUCGGAUUUACUGGGCGUAAAGGGCGCGUAGGCGGACGGUCGAGUCAGAGGUGAAAGGCCCGGGCUCAACCUGGGACGUGCCUUUGAAACUGAUUGUCUUGAGUGCGGAAGAGGGUGACGGAAUUCCCAGUGUAGAGGUGAAAUUCGUAGAUAUUGGGAAGAACUCCGGUGGCGAAGGCGGUCACCUGGUCCGCAACUGACGCUGAGGCGCGAAAGCGUGGGGAGCAAACAGGAUUAGAUACCCCCGUAGUCC
rnacentral:rRNA from 1 species